rnacentral:rRNA from 1 species
CCCCCGGCGGCCCCCUUCCUAUUUAGAGGAACUUGUUCCUUCCUCGAUACUCCCCGUUUACUUUUACUAUUUUUUUUAGUUUCUAUACCGCCGUCUAAAGAAAAAGAUCCGGCCCUUUCUCUUCAAAGUCCUUGCUCCCAAGUCAGGUCAAGGUGGAGCCUACAGAAUAGAGGAAAUGAGUUACUUAUUCUUUCUAAGAAUGGAUUAAUUAAACUAAAGCUUUUAGGAAAUAGGAUUUAAUAGUAAUUUAGUUUUAAAAUAACUAAAUGACCAAGUAAAAGGAGGUGCACAUAUCGCCCGUCG